CGGCUUAGGAUCAGGGUCUGGUGAAGGGGCAGGAGGCGCCAUGUCGGGCCGCGAAGGUGGCAAGAAGAAGCCCCUGAAGCAGCCCAAGAAGCAAGCCAAGGAGAUGGACGAGGAAGAUAAGGCAUUCAAACAGAAGCAGAAGGAGGAGCAGAAGAAACUCGAGGAGCUAAAAGCAAAGGCCGCGGGGAAAGGCCCCCUGGCCACCGGUGGAAUUAAGAAAUCUGGCAAAAAGUAAGCUGUUCCUUGUGCCUGAGGCAAUGAUGACCCUUAGUUCCAUUCCUGUUUAAACUCCUGGAUUCCCUGCCAUAAUAUCUGUUGCCACCUAUAGCUAGAAUGAAGUGUUGUCUUGGA
rnacentral:lncRNA from 1 species